rnacentral:rRNA from 1 species
GACAGAGGGGGCAAGCGUUGUCCGGACUGACUGGGCGUAAAGCGCACGCAGGCGGUUGCGCGCGUGGGGUGUGAAAUCUGGCCGCUUAACGGCCAGGCGCCAUCCCAUACGGCGCGACUGGAGUGAUGCAGAGGUCGAUGGAAUUGCCGGUGUAGUGGUGAAAUUCGUAGAUAUCGGGAGGAACACCAGUGGCGAAGGCGGCGAUCUGGGAAGAUACUGACGCUGAGGUGCGAAAGCGUGGGGAGCAAACAGG